UCCAAUGUGGUGUAGUGGCUAACAUUGCUGUCUUUCAUACGCGUGUGGGUAUUUAUCUAGCACAGCAGCCCGGGGUUCGAUUCCCCGCAUUGGAA